rnacentral:rRNA from 1 species
AGUGAACGCUGGCGGUAGGCCUAACACAUGCAAGUCGAACGGCAGCACAGUAAGAGCUUGCUCUUACGGGUGGCGAGUGGCGGACGGGUGAGGAAUACAUCGGAAUCUACUUUUUCGUGGGGGAUAACGUAGGGAAACUUACGCUAAUACCGCAUACGACAUACGGGUGAAAGCAGGGGAUCUUCGGACCUUGCGCGAUUGGAUGAGCCGAUGUCGGAUUAGCUAGUUGGCGGGGUAAAGGCCCACCAAGGCGACGAUCCGUAGCUGGUCUGAGAGGAUGAUCAGCCACACUGGAACUGAGACACGGUCCAGACUCCUACGGGAGGCAGCAGUGGGGAAUAUUGGACAAUGGGCGCAAGCCUGAUCCAGCCAUACCGCGUGGGUGAAGAAGGCCUUCGGGUUGUAAAGCCCUUUUGUUGGGAAAGAAAAGCAGCAGGUUAAUACCCCGCUGUUCUGACGGUACCCAAAGAAUAAGCACCGGCUAACUUCGUG